ACUCAAUAGAUACCCAGGUAGUCCACGCCCUAAACGAUGUCUACUAGUUGUUGGUGGAGUAAAAUCCAUGAGUAAACGCAGCUAACGCGUGAAGUAGACCGCCUGGGGAGUACGGUCGCAAGAUUAAAACUCAAAGGAAUUGUCGGGGGCCCGCACAAGCGGUGGAUUAUGUGGAUUAAUUCGAUGCAACGCGAAAACCUUACCUGGCCUUGACAUGCCACUAACGAAGCAGAGAUGCAUUAGGUGCCCGUAAGGGAAAGUGGACACAGGUGCUGCAUGGCUGUCGUCAGCUCGUGUCGUGAGAUGUUGGGUUAAGUCCCGCAACGAGCGCAACCCUUGCCAUUAAUUGCCAUCAUUUAGUUGGGCACUUUAAUGGGACUGCCGGUGACAAACCGGA
rnacentral:rRNA from 1 species